CAGUCGCCGCGGUAAUACGUAGGUCCCGAGCGUUGUCCGGAUUUAUUGGGCGUAAAGCGAGCGCAGGCGGUUAGAUAAGUCUGAAGUUAAAGGCUGUGGCUUAACCAUAGUACGCUUUGGAAACUGUUUAACUUGAGUGCAAGAGGGGAGAGUGGAAUUCCAUGUGUAGCGGUGAAAUGCGUAGAUAUAUGGAGGAACACCGGCGGCGAAAGCGGCUCUCGGGCUUGUAACUGACACUGAGGCUCGAAAGCGUGGGGAGCAAACAGGAUUAGAUACCCGUGUAGUCCCUGUCUCUUAUACA
rnacentral:rRNA from 1 species